rnacentral:rRNA from 1 species
UACGCAGGGUGCAAGCGUUGUCCGGAAUUAUUGGGCGUAAAGAGCUCGUAGGCGGUUUGUCGCGUCUGCUGUGAAAACUCGGGGCUUAACCCCGGGCCUGCAGUGGGUACGGGCAGACUAGAGUGCGGUAGGGGAGACUGGAAUUCCUGGUGUAGCGGUGAAAUGCGCAGAUAUCAGGAGGAACACCGGUGGCGAAGGCGGGUCUCUGGGCCGUAACUGACGCUGAGGAGCGAAAGCGUGGGGAGCGAACAGG